rnacentral:rRNA from 1 species
UACGACUACAUAUCAGGCAUAUCAAUAAGCGGAGGAAAAGAAACUAACUAGGAUUCCCUUAGUAACGGCGAGUGAAGCGGGAAGAGCUCAAAUUUGAAAUCUUCAAGGUUUUACCUUGACGAAUUGUAGUUUAAAGAAGUGUUUUCUGUUGAAGUUUUCGGUAAAAGUUCUUUGGAAUAGGACAUCAUAGAGGGUGAGAAUCCCGUAUUUGACCAGUUAUUUCCAGCUGUGUGAUACACUUUCAAAGAGUCGGAUUGUUUGGGAAUGCAGUCCAAAAUGGGUGGUAAAUUUCAUCUAAAGCUAAAUAUUGGCGAGAGACCGAUAGCGAACAAGUACCGAUGAGGGAAAGAUGAAAAGAACUUUGAAAAGAGAGUUAAACAGUACGUGAAAUUGUCAAAAGGGAAGCGUUUGACACCAGUGCUUGUUUUCUCGAAAAUCAAUUAAAAAUGACCGGAUUUUGUGUUGUAUUGACUUUAUCAGCUUUCUGCACUUUUUUCUUGUCUUUUUUAAUGCACUUUUCGUUUAACAAGUCAACAUCAAUUUCUUUUGUUGUAAAAGGGUCAUUGGAAGGUGGCUUUCACUUCGGUGAAAGUGUCUAUAGCCUUUGACUUCUGCAAUCGGAGAGAUUGAGGUCUGCAGCGUAGAUCCUUCGGGGUUAGAUACAUUUGUGCUAAGUUAUAGUUUUUCAUAGACAACAUGUUGACUAUGAUUAAUCAUGUAGCUUACUCGCUUAUGCUAUUUUACCUACGCUUAGGAUGUUGACGCGCGUGUGUGCGUG